GUUCUCAACUGACAUGUUAACGGCUUUCUCUGAACGGUGGUACUUCCAUUACUAACGCUCAUUGACUCUUUAUUAUCUGGUCCAUGCCAUGCAAAGGCAUAUGUGAUUUCCUUGCAUUCUACGAUAGUCAAUAGUUCUACAGAACGGUAGCCCCUGUUCCCCUUAAUAGCCAAAGAGGCCACAGAGACUCAUGGGCCCAAGGUCUGGGAUCUUGCCUGAGGUUUACAGACCGUAAAGCAGGACUCGAACGCUCGGGCCAGCACCCAAGCCCCUGCUUUUCCACUUUCCAUUUUCCCCACGCUGUCCCUCACCCCUGCUGGCCUCGGCCACCUGCAGCAGCACAAGAAAGAGGGACCUCCAAGGAGGGGGAGGGGCCUGAGGAGGCAGCACGGCCACUCCCCUGCGGUGGGCAGCCUGCAUUAUUGUUGUCACUCCUUCCUCUAUCAAAUGGGCUUGAAUUCAGCAUGAAAAGCGCAGUGGGGCAGCAGCCCCAUUCCAGAGGUCAGCACUUAAUACUGAAAACACCCACCCAUACUCAGGCCUUCUGGUCCCUCGGUCUCCAGACCCUCCCCCCUCCCUGGACACCUUCCCAGUGUGGAUGCACACAACUUCCCUCUCUUCCUCCUCUUCUGAUUGGCUUCAAGGCUAGGAUUUCCCUGCCCUAGAAUGAUCCUGCUACAGCUACUGCCCCAUACCUAGACCGUCUCUGGCAUCAUAUAUGCACUCUUCAAAUAUUUACUGAAGUGCGUGCUAACUUCCAGAAGAAAUAAGACCAAAACGGGAAUCCAGAAGAAAAUGGAAAAGCCCGGAGGGCGGGGGAGGGGCUGCAGGCGCCCAGUCUCCUCUCUCCCCGCCUCCCCCUGCCCCAGGACCCCUGCAGCCGGGCGGAUUCAGAGUUCAGGUUGCCUUUUGAUGACGGUAACAUCCGAACCGGCAGAAAAGCUCCAGUGGAAGCCAGAGCAGAAGUGACCACGCAGGGAGAGCGGCCCAGCCUGUUGUGCACAGUACAGAAUGUUCUCUUCUGUGAACUGAGCUUGAACUUCUCCAACCCACUUUGUCUGAGGAAUCACGCAGACGCAGAGGGCAAAAGGCCGGGAAGAUAACCCCCAAAUUGUUGAAAUCAUUGUGUUCUCUCUGGUUUUGGCCCAGAUCGGUUGCUUUUCACGACGCAUAAUGAAAAAUCCCAAGCAUUAGAGUUCUUGGAAGAACUGAA